CGAACGCUGGCGGCGUGCUUAACACAUGCAAAUCGGACGAUGAAGCUGGAGCUUGCUCCGGUGGAUUAGUGGCGAACGGGUGAGUAACACGUGAGUAAUCUGCCCUUGACUCUGGGAUAACUGCGGGAAACUGUAGCUAAUACCGGAUACGACACCUUCGGGCAUCCGAUGGGUGUGGAAAGAAUUUCGGUCAAGGAUGAGCUCGCGGCCUAUCAGCUAGUUGGUGAGGUAAUGGCUCACCAAGGCGACGACGGGUAGCCGGCCUGAGAGGGUGACCGGCCACACUGGGACUGAGACACGGCCCAGACUCCUACGGGAGGCAGCAGUGGGGAAUAUUGGGCAAUGGAGGAAACUCUGACCCAGCGACGCCGCGUGAGGGAUGAAGGCCUUCGGGUUGUAAACCUCUUUCAGCAGGGAAUAAGCGAAAGUGAAGGUACCUGCAGAAGAAGCACCGGCUAACUAUGUGCCAGCA
rnacentral:rRNA from 1 species